rnacentral:rRNA from 1 species
CCUACGGGGGGCAGCAGUGGGGAAUAUUGCGCAAUGGGCGAAAGCCUGACGCAGCGACGCCGCGUGAGGGAUGAAGGUCUUCGGAUCGUAAACCUCUGUCAGCAGGGAAGAAUGGUCACUGUGCUAAUCAGCAGUGAAUUGACGGUACCUGCAAAGGAAGCACCGGCUAACUCCGUGCCAGCAGCCGCGGUAAUACGGAGGGUGCGAGCGUUAAUCGGAAUUACUGGGCGUAAAGCGCUCGUAGGCGGUAUGUCAAGUCAAGGGUGAAAUCCCCGCGCUCAACGUGGGAACUGCCGUUGAAACUGGCAAACUUGAGGGUGGGAGAGGAUAGUGGAAUUCGAGGUGUAGGAGUGAAAUCCGUAGAUAUCUGGAGGAACAUCAGUGGCGAAGGCGACUAUCUGGCACAUAACUGACGCUGAGGAGCGAAAGCGUGGGUAGCAAACAGGAUUAGAUACCCGGGUAGUC